AUAAUUUCUCUUUCUUAUCUUCCUCUGAGCUUUCUGCUCUCCGAUUACGCUAUCAUUAUCAGAAAGAAGAAUCUCACAGUGCCUUGGUGGUAUAGUUUCUCCUAUGUAAGUUUUAUCCACGUAUAACCACUUGGAAGAGGGGAAGAAAUGCAGAUAAUGUAAUCUGAAAAUAACACAGAGAAGAAUGAUCCUAAAGAGGAGUGUAGACACAUUAUGGCAAAGGAGACACAGGCUACAAUGCUGAAACUUUGCUGCGUGAACAAUAAGCCAUGGAAGCUUGUUUAUUGCUAUCAGCUUUGUGAGAAAAUAUCAUUGUCUCCAGGACCCAAGAGCUGCUAGUAUUUGCAGAUUAGCGGGUGCUCCCAAGGAAGUAAAUUCGUAAACUCAGCCAAGUAAUAUUUGCACCGCUGCCAUUUUUGGGUACUACCUCAUAUAAUCUUUGUACACACGCCAAGAACUAAGAGGAAGCUUUCUUGACCAUGGAGCAGAUUCUUACAGGUAAGGUGAGGGGGAAGGUAAAGUAGCAUGACUAAACUUUUCCAUUUCUGCUGUUAAUAGCUUCUGGUCUUGGUCCAGUACCCUGUGAUCCAAUUUCUAGGUUAUGGUGUGUGUAUGAUAUAUUUUUUUGUCACCUUAGAAACGUGAAAAUACUUACUAACUGGCUGAAGAACUUCAUGG
rnacentral:lncRNA from 1 species